GAUGAACGCUAGCGGCAGGCCUAAUACAUGCAAGUCAAGGGGUCGUAGCAAUACGGCACCGGCGAACGGGUGCGUAACGCGUACGCAAUAUACCUCUAAGAGGGGAUAGCUUCUGGAAACGGGAGGUAAUACCCCAUAGUAUUAUUUGGUAGCAUUACUGGAUAAUUAAAACUCAGGUGCUUAGAGAUUGGCGUGCGUCCAAUUAGAUAGUUGGUGAGGUAACGGCUCACCAAGUCGAUGAUAGGUAGGGGCGUGAGAGCGUGGUCCCCCACACGGACACUGAGAUACGGGUCCGACUCCUACGGGAGGCAGCAGUAAGGAAUAUUGGUCAAUGGACGGAAGUCUGAACCAGCCAUGCCGCGUGAAGGAUGAAGGUGCUACGCAUUGUAAACUUCUUUGGACGGAGAAGAAACCCCUGCCUGCGGGCGGGGCUGACGGUAUCCGUAGAACAAGCACCGGCUAAACUCCGUGCCAGCAGCC
rnacentral:rRNA from 1 species